rnacentral:pre_miRNA from 1 species
AAAGUACUCCCUCCAUCCCAAAAUUCUUGUCUUAGAUUUGUCUAGAUACUGAUGUAUCAAGUCACAUUUUAGUAUUAGAUACAUCCGUAUCUUGACAAAUCUAAGACAAGAAAUUUGGGACAGAGGGAGUAGUUG